AAAUUGAAGAGUUUGAUCAUGGCUCAGAUUGAACGCUGGCGGCAGGCCUAACACAUGCAAGUCGAACGGUAACAGGAAGCAGCUUGCUGCUUUGCUGACGAGUGGCGGACGGGUGAGUAAUGUCUGGGAAACUGCCUGAUGGAGGGGGAUAACUACUGGAAACGGUGGCUAAUACCGCAUAACGUCGCAAGACCAAAGAGGGGGACCUUCGGGCCUCUUGCCAUCAGAUGUGCCCAGAUGGGAUUAGCUUGUUGGUGAGGUAACGGCUCACCAAGGCGACGAUCCCUAGCUGGUCUGAGAGGAUGACCAGCCACACUGGAACUGAGACACGGUCCAGACUCCUACGGGAGGCAGCAGUGGGGAAUAUUGCACAAUGGGCGCAAGCCUGAUGCAGCCAUGCCGCGUGUAUGAAGAAGGCCUUCGGGUUGUAAAGUACUUUCAGCGGGGAGGAAGGUGUUGUGGUUAAUAACCGCAGCAAUUGACGUUACCCGCAGAAGAAGCACCGGCUAACUCCGUGCCAGCAGCCGCGGUAAUACGGAGGGUGCAAGCGUUAAUCGGAAUUACUGGGCGUAAAGCGCACGCAGGCGGUCUGUCAAGUCGGAUGUGAAAUCCCCGGGCUCAACCUGGGAACUGCAUUCGAAACUGGCAGGCUUGAGUCUUGUAGAGGGGGGUAGAAUUCCAGGUGUAGCGGUGAAAUGCGUAGAGAUCUGGAGGAAUACCGGUGGCGAAGGCGGCCCCCUGGACAAAGACUGACGCUCAGGUGCGAAAGCGUGGGGAGCAAACAGGAUUAGAUACCCUGGUAGUCCACGCCGUAAACGAUGUCUACUUGGAGGUUGUGCCCUUGAGGCGUGGCUUCCGGAGCUAACGCGUUAAGUAGACCGCCUGGGGAGUACGGCCGCAAGGUUAAAACUCAAAUGAAUUGACGGGGGCCCGCACAAGCGGUGGAGCAUGUGGUUUAAUUCGAUGCAACGCGAAGAACCUUACCUGGUCUUGACAUCCACAGAACUUUCCAGAGAUGGAUUGGUGCCUUCGGGAACUGUGAGACAGGUGCUGCAUGGCUGUCGUCAGCUCGUGUUGUGAAAUGUUGGGUUAAGUCCCGCAACGAGCGCAACCCUUAUCCUUUGUUGCCAGCGAUUAGGUCGGGAACUCAAAGGAGACUGCCAGUGAUAAACUGGAG
rnacentral:rRNA from 1 species